GACGAACGCUGGCGGCGUGCCUAAUACAUGCAAGUAGAACGCUGAAGGAGGAGCUUGCUUCUCUGGAUGAGUUGCGAACGGGUGAGUAACGCGUAGGUAACCUGCCUGGUAGCGGGGGAUAACUAUUGGAAACGAUAGCUAAUACCGCAUAAGAGUAGAUGUUGCAUGACAUUUGCUUAAAAGGUGCAAUUGCAUCACUACCAGAUGGACCUGCGUUGUAUUAGCUAGUUGGUGGGGUAACGGCUCACCAAGGCGACGAUACAUAGCCGACCUGAGAGGGUGGUCGGCCACACUGGGACGGAGACACGGCCCAGACGCCUACGGGAGGCAGCAGUAGGGAAUCGGCGGCAAUGGGCGGAAGUCUGACCGAGCAACGCCGCGUGAGUGAAGAAGGAUUUCGGAUCGUAAAGCACGGUUGUAAGAGAAGAACGAGUGUGAGAGUGGAAAGUUCACACUGUGACGGUAACUUACCAGAAAGGGACGGCUAACUACGUG
rnacentral:rRNA from 1 species